rnacentral:siRNA from 1 species
AAUUGGGUGCUUGUUUGCUAU